CUUUGCUCAGUUUAAAAAGUAUACUUGGGACUAUUAAAAAGAUAUACUGCGGAAAAAUAACAUGAGAUUAUUUUACGCAAUGUAUUCAAUAAAACAACAAAAUUUAAACAUGUCGGAUCACCAACGGCCAAGAGGAAUUUCACAACAAUAAAAAGUCCUGGAGGUUCUUGACGCCGAUUCCAUAACCGGCAAUCCUGCUUUCACUAUCACCUACUUUGCAGUUCGUUGUAAAAACAGGCACUUCCGUGGGUACCCGGACAGGGCAACAAGCACAACGAUUCUCCAUAAGACACCCCAGUCACGAAUAUCGGCGGAAAUGCGACCACGGAUAAAGUGAGCAAAUGGAAACCUGAAUGGCACCGGCAUCGAGAUGCUGGUUUUCGCAGAAACGUUAAUGUACGUGGCCACGUUUUCCGUGCUGCCGAAAUUUGACGCAUAAUACCGGGCACGGAAGCCAUCGUUUACAAUAUUCCGCUUCCGGCAGCUAAAAGUGGUCAUUCACGGCGGUGGAAGUGGCCCGAAGAACACCAAACUGGCUCUGCUUAUCCUGGGAGACCUGAAGCCGGUGUUCCUGACGAUUGGUGGUAACAACUAGAGAGUGCUGGUGAGAGCAACCAAAAUUUUGCUCAGUACUGUUCAGUCCCGGUUUGGUUUUGUAGACGAGAAUGGAACGGAGCAACAUAUAUAUAUAACUUUGUAUUAUCUAGAGAGUUAUUUAGCUAAUAAAUAUAUUUCGUCGUUUGUAAUA